rnacentral:rRNA from 1 species
AUGGAGGGUGGACCUGGUUACCUGUUCCAUCGAAAGAACAAUGUGGGUUUCGCCUUGUUUCGGUGCGAUCGGAUUACCGACGGAGAUGAAAAUAUCUCAAGCCCUCCUCGAUUCCUUUCACUCCCCCACGACCCCGCCGCCGCCGCCUCCUCUCCUGCUGCCGCCGCCGCGCCACCACAGCCACCUCCUCUCAUCUCUGCCUUCUCUCCUGCUGCCCCCGCCGCGCCACCGCAGCUGCCUCCUCUCAUCUCUGCCUCUCCUGUUGCCCCCGCCGCGCCAGGGCCUCGCCUCGCCCUCAAGUGCACCGUCGACCUCCCAGACCUUGUUCUCCGCCUCGUCGCACUGACCAUCUUGAGCUCGAGCCGAGGAGCGGCCCGUGUCGCGUGGUGGCCAGAUGCGGCGGCCCCAUGCUCAAGCGCGGUGCUGCAAAAUGAUGGAUCUAUCACUUCUCUCCUCGUUCGGUCAGAAGGAGCAGUGAGACCGGAGCUGCGGAGAGCCGGAGUCAGGGACAAGAAGCAGCAGGGACCGGGCUUCCGCUGCAGUGGAGUGGAGCUGCAGGGAGAGGAAGGAAGCACCAGAAUUGUGCAGGAUGUCUGUGUGUGUGUGUUGUGCUUGGAGUGCAGUAGUACCAGGGCUCCUAUCGCUGCCAGUACCCCGACGGUGAAGGCCAUGGCGGUGGUCAACCUGCUGUUCUCAAUCUUUCAGAACUCCAGCUGCGUCGCUUGGUGCUUCUCGGCCAUUCUCUGUUCGGAGUCGGGGACAAGAAGCAGCAGGGACCGGGCUCCCGCUGCAGUGGAGUGGAGCUGCAGGGAGAGGAAGGAAGCCGGUGACAGAAGAAAAGAAGAUGCCGGCUCUGGUUCAUCAUGGAGAAACAGCUGCUCGCCCUCCUCCGCCUCUUCCCUAACCAUGGGUUCGUGUACCAAAUUAUGUAGCUUGCUUCUGAUCCAUGUGCUCAUCUCCGUUUCCAUGUCUUGUUUUUUUCAGAGACAAUGCCAACGAAUUGUCGGUCACGGGUACCGAGUCACUCUCAUUGAAGUUGUUACCUUUGUUUCUUUGUUAAACAACACUCUGCUGGUCUUGCUAUUCGCCAUUUUCCUCCCCACUAUAAUGCUGCCACUCUGUGAUGCCUCGGCAAGAAGGCCAAUCGCAGGGAGAUACGCCAUGGCAUGUCCUGAAGAGGCAAUCAGCCUCUGGUGGCUGCUGCAUGCAGAGCGGGUGCGCCAGUUCUUUGUUCCUCUCACUGGGCGGUUGUUUCAUUUUGUCUACAGCAAUGGGGUUGCUUCCUCUGCUCCGUUCGUGUGGUUGAUGUAUUUCGGUGGCCUCAAGCCCUCAACCCUCUGGAUCAUCCGUCCGCUGUGCGUGCUCUCAUCCGGGUUGCCGAGGGACGCCUCCUCCUGCGGCGCUCCUGUCCAAUUUUUUGUUUAUCUUCAGGUAUCUGCUUUAUGUGGAAAUAUGCCAAUGGAUAAUAUCCUCCGGAUUAACAAGUUCCUGUGUGCUGCUGCUCUUAUUAUCUACCUGGGUUUGUUUGUUUGGGCUGCCAUUUCCAUGGCUGAAGCUGAAGGAGCGGCUGUAGCUGGUAAUGAAGAGAGGCACUUUGCAUUUCUCCACCAGAAGUAUAGAUCGGUAAAGUACAGAGAAGCUUCAGAGCAUGGUAGCAUUGUUUAUGAGAAGAAUCCAGGACGGACUGACAACCUACUUCUUCUUGGAGUUAUCUACUGCCAGUUUAUGACUUGGUGCUAGCCGGAGCUUUUAUUUUCUACCAAAACUACUAUUAACAAAAGAACUCUAGCGAUCCAGGAUUUUAUCCUAAGCUGCUAUUAAACUCACAAAAGGGAGCAUUUAAUAACAAAAGAACUCUAGCCAUGCUUUUUGAUAUACUACGCAUAUGUAUGAUGUACUAGCAGUUCCUAUUUUUUAACUAUUGUGUACCAGAGAAUUGAAUUAGCUAUUUCUGCAUAAAUAUGAUGUAUGAAAUUAUGUCAUGAGAGGGAUGUGUUCAUUUUCAAAACUAAGUUGGAUGAGCUUAAAGCACUUAUUCACCAGUACAAGUUAAAUAUGCUUUUAAAGUUUUAAAUACAUUUAUUUUUUUAGAGUACAUCAUCUUUUAUUUCUAAAGGAAUACUGGAUAUGCUCAUUUCUAUAGCCACAGUACAAGUUAAACCAUCCCAACUCCAUAGCAGAGCUACUCCAAACAGAACUGGAAUGAUUAUAUUUUUUUAUGGAUUUUACAAAUUCAGCAGGUUGAGCAUUUUUUUUUUUGUGAUUUUCAUACUCAGCGACAACUUGACUUAGCAUAAUAUGUUUAUUUCUGAACUUGGUAGAUCAAAUCACCCAGGAAAGCACACAAGCAAACUGUUGGAUUGAUGAACAGUAUACUACUCCUUGGUCCAGAGGUUACACGGGUGGCGUCACAACGACAGCUGACGGAACAGAGGAAGGCGACCUCGGUCCAAAAGUUUGAUGCAUGCUUGGUGUCCAGGAAUCGAAUCAGAAUGACAGCCGGAGCUCAACAGAGUUAGGGAAACUACCUAGGAUCAAGGACUCACUAAAAAAAUAAGGCGAUUCACGGCGGCGUCCAGCGGGCCUGCAUGUUGGACCCUGAGCGUGGACGUCAAGUCGGACAGAGGGCUGGUGGAUCCCGCCUGUUCCUACGGCUGGAGUUGCAGCUGUGAGCAGCGGCGUCCCCGACGGGGUCGACUAGAAGGAGGAUCCAGGAGGAAGAGGAAAUGGAUUGAGGAGGGAGGUAGUGAAGUGGAGUAGGGGUAAAACGUGAAGGGGCAUGGAGUAGCGGGCGCGUGUCCCGCGAGUUGGCGCUGCCAGCCUGACUGGCGGGUUCGCCAGAAGGACCCAUUGGUCAGUAGCAAAGGGAGAGGUUGAAAGAAAAAUAAAUAAAAAUAAAAAAUUGAAAAUGGCUGGAAUAUCUAAUCCUCCUCUACUCCCUCAUAAUCUACUCGGAAUUAAUUUCAUGGCUCAAAACUCAUCAGUAAUAUCUUGGAAAAUUUCACAUAUGCUACUACUUAUAUAAUAUAACUGUGAAAAUGUUCAAGACUUUUCAGAAGGGCCC